rnacentral:rRNA from 1 species
UGGGCAACCUGCCCCUAGCUCUGGGAUAACUCCGGGAAACCGGGGCUAAUACCGGAUAUGAUCACGGUGGACAUCCACUGUGGUGGAAAGCUCCGACGGUUAGGGAUGGGCCCGCGGCCUAUCAGCUUGUUGGCGGGGUAACGGCCCACCAAGGCGACGACGGGUAGCCGGCCUGAGAGGGCGACCGGCCACACUGGGACUGAGACACGGCCCAGACUCCUACGGGAGGCA